CUCAGAAGGGAAGGAGGUACUGCGGCCCUCGCACCGGAAGGCGGAGGAGCAGCGCGGCCCCAGGGUGCGCCCGAACCCGUGUGUUUGGGUCGCGCGCGGUGACCCCGCCUCCGCCCCCUGGCGCCGCCGGGCGGAUUGGCUCCCACCGGUCUGGCCCCGCCUCCCCCCUCGCCGCGGCCUUCCCGCUCCCGCCCUGUCUCGCCUAGGUGCCUUGGUGGGGUAGGUGCUGCCACCCGCGGAUUCGGUGAUGGACAGGUCUCUAGCCCCGCCCUCCCCUGCUGGGCGCGCCCCCUCUCCACCGCGGGGCUUGCGCUGAUUGGAGGGACGGAGCUCCUCCGGGCGCCAACCAGAAGGCGGCCCCUCCUCCUGCACGUGGCCCUCGGACGCUGGACCUGACGGUUUGCAGAGACAACUCACAACAACACAUUUGGCCCAGGAGCUGCUUACAAAUGUACGGUGCGGUGGUGGUUGAAGAAGUUUUGCAGACUAGAUAAAAGCCUGAAGAUAAACAUAGUGGCUGCCCAUGGAAAGUUGACAAUAACCAACUGAGAGGCUUAAAAUUACAUGAGAAGUUGCCCAAGAACUGAACAUCAACCAUUCUAUAGUUGCUCAGCAUUUGAAGCAAAUUUGAAAGGUGAAACGCUCGAGAAGUGGGUGCAUCAUGAGCUGACCAAUAAUGAAAAAAACCAUUGUUUUGAAGGGUCAUCUUCUCUUUUUCUACAUUAGGUUCUUCUCUUAUUCUUUAUCGGAUUGUGAUAUGUGACAAAAAGUGGAUUUUAUAUGAGACCCAGUGAUGACCAGUUCAUUGGUUGGACCGAGAAGCUUCAAAGCACUUCCCAAAGCCAAACUUGCACCCAAAAAAGGUUAUGGUCACUGAUUGAUGGUCUGAUGUCGGUCUGAUCCACUACAGCUUUGUCCAUCCCAGCAAAACUAACACAUCUGAAAAGUAUGUUCAUCAAAUCAAUGAGAUACACCAAAAGCUGCAACACCUGCAGCUGGCAUUGAUCAACAGAAAGGGCCCAGUUCUCCUUGACAACACCUGACUGCACAUCACACAACCAACGCUUCAAAAGCUGAACAAAUGGGCUAUGAAGUUUUGCAUCAUCCACCAUAUUCACCUGACCUCUCAUCAACCGACUACCACUUCUCAACCAUCUCGACAACUUUUUGCAGGGAAAAUGCUUCCAGAGCCAGCAGAAGGCAGGAAAUGCUUUCCAAGAGUUCAUCGAAUCCCUGAGUAUUGAUUUUGAUACUACAGGGAUAAACAAACUUAUUUCUUGUUGGCAAAAAUGUGUUGAUUAUAAUGGUUCCUAUUUUAAAUAAUAAAGAUGGGCUUGACCCCAGUUAUGAUGAUUUAAAA